rnacentral:rRNA from 1 species
GUAGGUGGCAAGCGUUGUCCGGAAUUAUUGGGCGUAAAGCGCGCGCAGGCGGUUCUUUAAGUCUGAUGUGAAAGCCCACGGCUCAACCGUGGAGGGUCAUUGGAAACUGGAGAACUUGAGUACAGAAGAGGAAAGUGGAAUUCCACGUGUAGCGGUGAAAUGCGUAGAGAUGUGGAGGAACACCAGUGGCGAAGGCGGCUUUCUGGUCUGUAACUGACGCUGAGGCGCGAAAGCGUGGGGAGCAAACAGGGAUUAGAUACCCUGGUAGUCCACGCCGUAAACGAUGAGUGCUAAGUGUUAGGGGGUUUCCCGCCCCUUAGUGCUGCAGCUAACGCAUUAAGCACUCCGCCUGGGGAUACGGCCGCAAGGCUG